rnacentral:piRNA from 1 species
ACNGUCUAGAAGCUGGGUCACAUCUCAU